rnacentral:rRNA from 1 species
AUUGAACGCUGGCGGCAUGCCUUACACAUGCAAGUCGAACGGUAACGCGGGGCAACCUGGCGACGAGUGGCGAACGGGUGAGUAAUGUAUCGGAACGUGCCCAGUUGUGGGGGAUAACUGCUCGAAAGAGCAGCUAAUACCGCAUACGACCUGAGGGUGAAAGCGGGGGAUCGCAAGACCUCGCGCAAUUGGAGCGGCCGAUAUCAGAUUAGGUAGUUGGUGGGGUAAAGGCUCACCAAGCCAACGAUCUGUAGCUGGUCUGAGAGGACGACCGGCCACACUGGGAAUGAGACACGGCCCAGAAUCCUACGGGAGGCAGCAGUGGGGAAUUUUGGACAAUGGGCGCAAGCCUGAUCCAGCCAUGCCGCGUGCGGGAAGAAGGCCUUCGGGUUGUAAACCGCUUUUGUCAGGGAAGAAAAGACUCCUGUUAAUACCGGGGGUUCAUGACGGUACCUGAAGAAUAAGCACCGGCUAACUACGUGCCAGCCGCCGCAGUAA